GCAAACUUGGUCAUUUAGAGGAAGUAAAAGUCGUAACAAGGUUUCCGUAGGUGAACCUGCGGAAGGAUCAUUAGUGAAAUUUUAAAGGGCGCUCUUUUUAGAGGCCCGGCCUUUUUUUUCACACACUGUGCACAUCUACUUCUUUUACACCAUUUUAAACACAAAGUCAUAGGAAUGUAUAUCUGCUCUUAGCUGAGCUUAAAAAUAGUAAAACUUUCGGCAAUGGAUCUCUUGGCUCCCGCAUCGAUGAAGAACGCAGC
rnacentral:misc_RNA from 1 species